UUCAGCACAGACACAGCCAUGUCACACAAGUUGAGGAAUAUAUUUCUCUUCAUUCUAUUCAUUCUUGAGUGCAGAUCAGAGGACACAGUUGAUCAGCCAGACAAACAUGUGACUGAAGCUGAAGGAAGAUCAGUGACAUUACAGUGUAAAUAUAAAACAGAUUCACCACGAGAAGAUUUAUUCUGGUACAUCCAGAGAGCAAAUGACUUUCCUAAAUACAUCCUGAGAAGGGACAAGUUUGGAACUGGAGAAAAUGGCACUGAGUUCCAGGAGAGAUUUCACUCUGAACUUUCAUCAAAUUCAGUUCCUCUGAUGAUCAAGGAUCUGCGUGUGUCUGACUCUGCUGUGUACUACUGUGCUCUGAAGCCCACAGUCACAGGAAACACUGUAACACUGUACAAAAACCUGUUACAAUGAGAGACAAGAGAGAAAUGCAGAGACACAGAAAUUGACCAUGAGAAAAAAGCUGUAACUGCCAAUUGCAACAAUAUGUAUGUGAGAGAAAUAAUGGAAAUAGGUUGUUACCAAAAUCAAAAUGUAGACAAAUCAUUUAAUCAGCUCAUUGUAAAAAUGAUUACAAAAAAAUACUAAAAAUAAACAAAAUACUAAAUUGAGUGAAUCUUUGGCAAUAUAAAGAUGAAGCACAUUAAAACCCUUCAAUACUGUCUUACUGUCCUAUUGACAAAUCAAUUUAGAAUAUCCUGUAAUUCAAGAAAUUUGAGAAAAAAAAAAAAAAAAAACAUUAAAAUAACAAUAAUAAUGAUUCUCAUGUGUAAUAUAAAGCACAUACAUUCAUAUGGAGCUCUUUCUUGUUCUAAAUUAAGUCAAGUGAAAGUGACAGGUGAAGGCCAAAUAUGGUAAACCAUACUUAGAGUUUGUGCAUUUAACCCAUCCAAGUUAGUGCACACAAAUUAGGAGUA